GGAAUAUUGCGCAAUGGGCGAAAGCCUGACGCAGCGACGCCGCGUGGGGGAUGAAGGUCUUCGGAUUGUAAACCCCUUUCGGGAGGGAAGAUGGAGCGAGCAAUCGUUCGGACGGUACCUCCAGAAGCAGCCACGGCCACCUUCGUGCCAGCAGCCGCGGUACUACGAAGGUGGCAAGCGUUGUUCGGAUUCACUGGGCGGACAGGGUGUGUAGGCGGUUUGGUAAGCCUUCUGUUAAAGCUUCGGGCCCAACCCGGAAAGCGCAGAGGGUACUGCCAGGCUAGAGGGCGGGAGAGGAGCGCGGAAUUCCCGGUGUAGCGGUGAAAUGCGUAGAGAUCGGGAGGAAGGCCGGUGGCGAAGGCGGCGCUCUGGAACGUACCUGACGCUGAGACGCGAAAGCUAGGGGAGCAA
rnacentral:rRNA from 1 species